rnacentral:lncRNA from 1 species
UGGUUGUAGAUGUGUGGUCUUAUAUCUGAGAUCUCUACUCUGUUCUAUUGGUCUAUGUGUCAAAACAGACCUUUUCUACACAGCAUCCUUGACAAAAAGGUCCAGCCUCCACUGCCACCGCCCCACCCCGCCCCCACAGUGACAGGAGCAAGCUCACUUCAUCCCUCAGCACCAUGUUCCUGAGGACUAGCUCUGAAGCUUCUGUCUUGUGUUGAGUUGAAAUAGUUCUCCCUAAAGCUCUCCUUGUGGGUCCAGUAUUGCCUUCUGAAGCCACACAGAAGCAUCCUGUUUCCCUUCCAUACAAUAGCCCUUUAGGUAUCUGUAGAUAAGCGGGCAACUCCUGGAGACUUCCCUGCUUCAGAAGAAAUACUUGCAGCGCCUUCUAUCAUUCCUUGCAUGAUAUAUGUGUCAGCAAGACCUGAGUUGCAAGCAGUAGAAACCCAUGCUAGCUGACUCAGGUAGAAAAGACAUUUCGUUAGAAGGAAAUGGGAGUGGUCACAGGAUUGGCAGAACAGUUGGAAAUCCAGCUGGAGAAAUAGACAGGAACAAGCCAGAAGCACACUGAAACCUAUCCAAAAGCAUCCCAGGAGGGCACACUGAGUGCCGCAUGGAGCCUGCACCACCAUGGGGAGGAAGCAGCCACCGCCUUCCUGAAUCCCCACCAGGCAGAAACAUCUCUCCCGUCUUUGAACUUCACCACGCCGUGCAUCUUCCUCUGGGUGUGCAAUCGUCACCUGCGUACAUGAUUGAUUCUGCCCCCAACACUAGACUGCAGAAAGAACUCAAAGCUCAGAUGGUCAGGGUCCUGUUGGUUCAUCAAGCUCAGCCUGCCUGGAGGCAGCCACUGUGUUGUUCCCUCUCUUCGUCCUCCCUCUGCACUCUCUCUUGCCACGGGACAUUUGCACAAGCAGUUCCCUCUAACUGGAACACUAAGAAAUAUGGAAGUAAAAGGGGUUGGGAGAAAAGACAGGAGUCACAGGUGACUGUGUGGGAUGAGGAGAGUCGUGAAAACUUUUUUUUUUUUUUUUUGAGAUGGAGUCUCGCUUUGUCACCCAGGCUGGAGUGCCAGUGGUGCCAA